rnacentral:rRNA from 1 species
UAUGUGACGUUACCAAACUGUUGCCUCGGCGGGAUUUCUGCCCCGGGCGCGUCGCAGCCCCGGACCAAGGCGCCCGCCGGAGGACCAAUUUACAAACUCUUUUGUAUAUCCCAUCGCGGAUUCUUUACAUUCUGAGCUUUCUCGGCGCUCCUAGCGAGCGUUUCGAAAAUGAAUCAAAACUUUCAACAACGGAUCUCUUGGUUCUGGCAUCGAUGAAGAACGCAGCGAAAUGCGAUAAGUAAUGUGAAUUGCAGAAUUCAGUGAAUCAUCGAAUCUUUGAACGCACAUUGCGCCCGCCAGUAUUCUGGCGGGCAUGCCUGUCCGAGCGUCAUUUCAACCCUCGAACCCCUCCGGGGGGUCGGCGUUGGGGAUCGGCACUUACCUGCCGGCCCCGAAAUACAGUGGCGGUCUCGCCGCAGCCUCUCCUGCGCAGUAGUUUGCACACUCGCACCGGGAGCGCGGCGCGUCCACGGCCGUAAAACAACCCAAACUUCUGAAAUGUUGACCUCGGAUCAGGUAGGAAUACCCGCUGAACUUAAGCAUAU